GCACAUGCACACGCAGGCACGCACACACACACACGUUAACAUGAGCAGCAAAUAUUUACCUUUUUGAAGUGGGGCAGUUAUACUUGGGGUGAGCAAAAGUCCAACAGCAGGACAGGAAAUCUCAAAUCUCAGCUGGAAGUGGCGUUUGAGUUUGUUAACUGGUACGUGGAAACACCGAUAAACCGAGUUAGUUAAACAACGUGAGCACCGAAUAUUUUUCACGACCUGAAGCGACGUGCUCCCACCGUUGGCAGGUGAUCUUGAAUGUGGCAUCCUACAUCAGCAGGGCAGCCGUAGCCUAGCAACGCAAAAGAGUGAGCAGAGGCAAAGCCGCCGCAGUUUAAAUGACCCGCCAUAUUGAAAAGUGUGUUUGAUAUACACCGAGGUGCCAGUUUAUCAGGCUCGGGGUCCAGUCCCUGCAGAGUAACACCUCCCCCUGUAGGAUCAAGGCAGGACUUCAACCUGGAAGCCUCAAACGCCUGGCUGCAUCUCACGAAAGGCUUCUGAGUGUCAACUGACUCCCCUGUGGGCUGCUGUUCCCUGCCAGGCAGAUCAUGGGACAGUGCAGGUGGCCUACUAAAACACUAGGAGCCUUGUUUGAAAAGACAGGCUACAAGGUAGAUAGACUGUCUGUGCUGUGCUGUGCUUCAACCCAGAACAAGGCUGUGAAGAUGACUGUGCAUUAACUCCACAACAGAGACUCUAAAUGGAAAUGUCAUAACUGUGAUUAUAGCAAUAAUGCUGUUGGCUUUGAUGAUGAAGAGUUUGGCAUUAGUGGUGAAGAAAGAGUAUCUCACUAGACUACAGUGUUUUCAUCAUAUUUAUAGCUCAAUUUCUGUAUCUCUACACAGUAAAGAUUGUGAAUAAACACACUGAAGAUUUGUAAGAAGAUACAUCUAUCAUAAUAAUUUCCUCUUCUCUGCUGGUGAAGUUCAGUUGCAAAUCAAAUAUUAAGCAAAUUUUCCUUUAGAUUUCAAAAUUCACACAAAUUACUAUUGCUUCUAGUGGAAAAUUAAUCAUUAACCACAUCCUGUCUACCAGUGGAGAGACUUUCAGCAGCAUUACUCAAAAUUAGUAAAAGGUAUUUAAAAAAAAAUAGUUCUAUAAAAAUGGUGUACACAUCCCUGGACAAAAAUGUGUUUGUUUUAUUUGAGGUGAAACGCAGGUGAAUCAUCAUUUUCCAUUUUACCUAUUUAGAGUUACAGUCAUGCCAGCGGCUCUGUCAGGCUGUACUUUGAGCUAAGUGCUAACACCAAUAUGCUAACAUGCUCUCAAUGAGUGUGCUACCAUGCAAACCCUGGUGACAUGAACCCACUGUAUAAUCUGUGCUCAACUCCUACCGCCUCUGUCCUGCAGCCACAACCUGGCCUUAAUUCUCAACCCAAAUUUCACCCUCGUCUUCGGCUUUAACCGCAAAACUUAACCGCCUCCGCCUCUACUGACCAU